GAACUCGAGAUGGCGGCAGUGGCAUGUUGGUUCUGAUGGAGGCUGCGGUGAGAAGAUGUAGGGUUGAAGAUUAGAGAUUAUUUAUGGUAACACAAUGUGAAAGCCAAAUAGAAGCCAGCUGGACAGCACUGAAGGCUUGGAAAAGUGGCAAUAAAGUUACUUAAGAAUAAAAUCGAUGUUUUCAUUAAAUAAAUAAGAUUUAUUCCUAUGAAAUGUGUGUACUGAAAACUUGGGUUUUACCCAUGU